CAGUGUCCCCUGUGUAUAAUGGGAGCUCCGUAAAUGUCUGUUUUCAUUAUUGAAGAUGGGGGUCAUCUGGCUUUCCUGACUGGCUCUGGUUGUCUACAUUCAGCUGAGCCCCUCUUCUGUUAAUUGGACUUGUUUCUGCUCCACUGGCAGUUGGAUGACGCACAAGCAGAGCAAGCAGGAAGCCUUGCUCCUUGAGAAUCACCGUACGUAUCUGAGAAAACUCCGGCAGCUCUGGUGUCCACACGACUGGCUUGCAAGUCUCUUUGAUGUGACGACGUUCACAGGGGCCUUGAACCUACUGAACUCUCUGUGUCUUGCAGUCUACCACCCCCC
rnacentral:lncRNA from 1 species